rnacentral:rRNA from 1 species
GGUUAAGCGACUAAGCGUACACGGUGGAUGCCCUGGCAGUCAGAGGCGAUGAAGGACGUGCUAAUCUGCGAAAAGCGUCGGUAAGGUGAUAUGAACCGUUAUAGCCGGCGAUGUCCGAAUGGGGAAACCCAGUGCAAUUCGUUGCACUAUCGUUAACUGAAUACAUAGGUUAACGAGGCGAACCGGGGGAACUGAAACAUCUAAGUACCCCGAGGAAAAGAAAUCAACCGAGAUUCCCC